UUUUACCAGGGGAUAAAAUUUCUUUUGGAAACUGGCAGCAUCCUUAAUGCUUUUUUUAACUUUAGAUAGGCUUUCCUUUUGUCUAUCUGCCAUUUUCAUUUUCUGAAAGCACAGGCUAAAUUUGCGUGACUAAGUAGAGGAUAGAAGAAUAACUUUGGAAAGUAGAAAUCAGUGUGUCUGGAUUGCUACAUAUGGAACUAGGGAUAGCAGAAGGGGUCAUUUGGAGUUUUGCAUUGCUAGGUCUCCUGGGAAAAACUGGAAAGAGGAAUUUUGGACUGAUGCUUGCAUGCUCUGAUGAAGCCAGAUGCUGUGGUGGAGAGGAACACAUGACAAGGAAGCAAGGAUGGCUUCUGCUCGACAUCUUGAAAAGAACUGAGACCCCUGGUCUGAUAUCUGUGAGGAACUGAUAAUCCUGCUAACAACCACUGGGACACAGAGAAGAUACAGUCCUGCUCUCCCAGAUGCUGGCUUAGUUUAUAGAACAUCUUUGCUGUAGAUGAAAAGAUUGAUUGGAUGAUCUUCUCCAUGUCUCCAGCCUAUCUGCACCAAAACAACCUGUCUUGAGCAUGUGUGGUUGACAGCUCGAUGGAAAGGGAUUGUGGCUGACAUACACAGGAAGAUCUACUUUCUUAAAAUCUCAUGUCCCAAAGAUCUUAUGAUUCCUUGAAUGGUGUCAACUGUGUUUUAUGAUUCAUUUAUUCAUCUACUCAAUUUAUUUUGAUUGUGUGCUGCUCUGUACCAGGAACUGUGUCAAGAAAUGGGGAUACAUUGUUGAACAAGAGGGAAUCCUAUCCUCAAGGAGCUUACAGUAGUCAGGGGAAGAUACGCACAUUUCUAGUAUGAAGAAGUAUGAUAAAUGCUAGGGAAAUGGAAGUAGAGAGUGCUAUGGGGUACCCAGCAGGGUUAUUCAACCCGGUCUUAUACCAUCAGGGAAUGUUUCCCAAAGGAAAUAAUAUCUAAUCUGAGACCUGAAGGAUAAAUACUAGUUAGCCAGAUUAAGGAGAACAGCUGGUCAGAGGGAAUGGGUUUUAGUUUUAAGGUAUUCUAGAAAAACAACUUGGGCUAAGACCAGCAGGGAGUAAAAAGCAUUUGGGAAACUGAAAGUAAUUUCUUGGGUUGAUAUAUAGAUGGCAUGGGAGAUGGAGCGGGGGAGAUGAAGCAGGAGAGGAAAGCAGAGGUCAGAUCAUGAAAGGCCUUAUAAGGAAGGUGAAGUGUAUGGGUGUUAUUUUGAGGACAAUGAGGAACCAUUACAUCUUUUCAUGUAGACGGUGUAUAGUAGAACUAUGUUUGCAUUUUAGAAAGCUUACCCUGAGGAUGAACUUGAGAUAAGACUAGUACUAGAAGGGGGUUCUCUUAGGAGGUUGCUGCAGUAAUUGAGGCCAGAGAUGAUGAGCUGGACUUGGAUGGAGACAGUGGGGAUGGAGAGACAUGCCAUGUCUCUAAGAGGGUUUGAAGCAGGCAACCCAAACCUGGCAUCCUGUCACAUUCAGACAGUUGCUGUCAUGAUAGGGCAGCCCUGCAAAAUGCAAGAUAUCAUCUCCUUGUUUGAUUUCAGCUAACUGUGAACUCCCUGUGGGCAGGGACUAUUUUAUAUUCAUCUGUGUGUCUCUAGUACCUGGGAGAUGCUCAGGGGAAGAAUGUUCUUGAAGAAGUUUUUUUGAUACAGUGGUUGCCCUCAUGACUUACCAGACCCAGCUUUGUUAGGAAAGGUCAAUGGUAAUCAUGAAAUCAAGGUCUGGAGCUAUUUCAGCCC